rnacentral:misc_RNA from 1 species
UCCGUAGGUGAACCUGCGGAAGGAUCAUUAACCUUUCAAAAAACAGGGUGCGUCGCGGCCCCCCUCCGGGGGCGGUUUGGGGUCCUCCCCUUCACGCGCGCACGACUGCAUCCUUACUUUACGAGCACCUUCUGUUCUCCCUCGGCGGGGCAACCUGCCGUUGGAACCGAAUAAACCCUUUUUUGCAUCCAGCAUUACCCGUUCCGAAACAAACAAUCGUUACAACUUUCAACAAUGGAUCUCUUGGCUCUGGCAUCGAUGAAGAACGCAGCGAAAUGCGAUAAGUAGUGUGAAUUGCAGAAUUCAGUGAAUCAUCGAAUCUUUGAACGCACAUUGCGCCCCUUGGUAUUCCGGGGGGCAUGCCUGUUCGAGCGUCAUCUACACCCUCAAGCUCUGCUUGGUGUUGGGCGUCUGUCCCGCCUCAGCGCGCGGACUCGCCCCAAAUCCAUUGGCAGCGGUCCUUGCCUCCUCUCGCGCAGCACAUUGCGCUUCUCGAGGGGCUCCGGCCCGCGUCCAACAAGAAAACAUUACCGUCUUUGACCUCGGAUCAGGUAGGGAUACCCGCUGAACUUAAGCAUAUG